UCAAGCAUUUUCCCAUUUACUUUAGUCAGACACAGCCUGUUCACUGUGAGCAUUCAGCCUACCCCGAUGGUCUCCUGGUAGACAUGGAUUACAAACUGCAUCCCACCUUUUGAUCACUAGUUUCACAGGUCAAACCCAGGUUUAAGAGCAGAUUUCUUGAGGCAAGAAACUGCACAUAGAGCUCACAGAAAACAAGAACAAAAUGGAAUUCAAACAAACGAUGUGGGCCAGAGCGGUAAUACUUUACUGCGGCGUGGUAUUCCUCUACCACCAGGCCUUAGCAGUGGAUACCUACAUGGCUGAGUUCAUGGUAGAGAGCAAUGUUACAUUUGACAUCUCUGGUACUCUAUCAUCGAUCAAGGAAAUAACUACAGAUAAUGGAAGUAUGACCAUUGAACUGCUUGAACUAACAGCGGAAUGUGAAAUUGUUGGGGGUAAUUCUAAAUGUAACUGUUCGACAACCUACAUCUGGAGCAACGCAGUGUGUGACGAGUUCCAGUGCUGCAAUGGCUCGUCUUGUUAUGCAAAUAUUUCUGACUUGCCAGCCUUCUGUAUUCCCAAAGUGAAAGGUAUUAUUGUUGAUACUUAUUUUUACUUCCAGUAUUUGAUAUGAUCAAUAGGAUGGAUAACACUGUUG
rnacentral:lncRNA from 1 species